UCUCUCCAGUCGCUGUAAGGAACGCAAAGCUACCCGAGCCAAACAUUCAACAUGUUUGACGGGAUCCACGUUUCGGUUUUACGAGCCACGACUUUGGGGGUUGAAGAUGCUAGCAGACAUGGAUGAUGUGAAUCUCGGACUCUAAUGAGGAGUCUCUGCUUGAUUUUACACUGAUGCCAGAUGAGGUCUGACCGAUGGCAGAAGAGGAGAACUGGCCUGCUUCACAGCUCAUUAUUACUUUUGGUACGCGCUAGGCCUGCCUCAAACUCGUACCGUGAGUAAUAAUGCACUGUGGCAGGCAAUGAGCUACCAGCACCAACACUACAACCACAGAUUUGGAGUAAAGCAAAAAGGGCAUGGAGAGAAACAACCACCAAAGUAUUUCAUAUGUGAUAAGGCUGUAAUGCAUUGCUUUAAAUGAAUGGAUGUAUGUAAAUUGACUAUGAAAUCUGGAACGCACGGAUUCUAUAGGUUUGAAUUCUGCUUCGGUUCCCAGUGAGUGCCGGCCGUAAGGUGGAGUAUUAAUGUUUUUCAGAAAGCUGCGUCAGCCUGGAGAUGUUUAAUCAUGGGUUUAGAGACUUUUGAUUACAACAAAAUCUGAAUAAAUGAUAAGUAAUAGACAGACAGUUUUAUUUUUUAUUUUUUCAACUUGGUAGUGUUGGAGACAGUUGUUUUUAAGUGGUAGGUUUGUUUGCCCUAACUUAAUGAUAGCUGCUAUUUAAAAUGUUGAAAAAACUUGUUUAACAUUGUAUAUUGCUUACGUUGCUUUAUGUUAAUAAAUGUUUUCAUUAAGGUA